rnacentral:sRNA from 1 species
AGAGUCUGUGCCUGUCGUGGAAGCUGGCCUGGCCCCCGGAGCUCCCUGGAGUCGGUACUGGGGGCUUCGUUUUGUACGCACCGUUUUCUCUCUGUGCUAUGGGAGAUGUCAAGGAAUCAAAGAUGCAAAUAACACCAGAAACUCCAGGAAGGAUCCCUGUUUUAAAUCCUUUUGAAAGUCCUAGUGAUUAUUCUAAUCUCCAUGAACAAACUCUCGCCAGUCCUUCUGUUUUUAAAUCAACAAAAUUACCAAAUAGAUAAAGAUGUGGAAGACAAAAGACAAAAAGCCAUUGAAGAGUUUUUCACUAAAGAUGUCAUCGUACCCUCUCCUUGGACUGAUCAUGAAGGGAAACAGCUUCCACAGUAUCAUUCCAGUAAAUGCACUAACAUAAAUAAUGACUCUCCAAUUGGAAAAAAGCUGACCAUUCAUUCUGAGAAAAGCAAUGCUGCUUGUCAGACAUUGCUGUCUCUUCCUGUGGAUUUUAAUUUAGAAAAUAUAUUAGGUGACUAUUUUAGAGCUGAUGAAUUUGCAGAUCAAUCUCCUGGAAACCUCAGUUCUUCAUCCCUC